CGUAAGGACCGAGCGUUGUCCGGAAUCAUUGGGCGUAAAGGGUACGUAGGCGGUUAGAAAAGUUAGAAGUGAAAGGCUAUAGCUCAACUAUAGUAAGCUUUUAAAACUGUUUAACUUGAGAGAUGGAGGGAAGUGGAAUUCCUAGUGUAGCGGUGAAAUGCGCAGAUAUUAGGAGGAUACCGGUGGCGAAGGCGACUUUCUGGCCAUUAUCUGACGCUGAGGUACGAAAGCGUGGGUAGCAAACAGGAUU
rnacentral:rRNA from 1 species